GACGAACGCUGGCGGCGUGCUUAACACAUGCCAGUCGAACGGUGAACCUCUUCGGAGGGGAUCAGUGGCGAACGGGUGAGUAACACGUGGGCAACCUGCCCCCGGCUCUGGGAUAACUCCAAGAAAUUGGGGCUAAUACCGGAUGUUCACCGCUUCCCGCAUGGGUGGUGGUGGAAAGGGUUUCCGGCUGGGGAUGGGCCCGCGGCCCAUCAGCUUGUUGGUGGGGUAGUGGCCUACCAAGGCGACGACGGGUAGCCGGCCUGAGAGGGUGACCGGCCACACUGGGACUGAGACACGGCCCAGACUCCUACGGGAGGCAGCAGUGGGGAAUAUUGCGCAAUGGGCGGAAGCCUGACGCAGCGACGCCGCGUGGGGGAUGACGGCCUUCGGGUUGUAAACCUCUUUCAGCAGGGACGAAGCGCAAGUGACGGUACCUGCAGAAGAAGCACCGGCCAACUACGUG
rnacentral:rRNA from 1 species